GAAAUGCGAUAAGUAAUGUGAAUUGCAGAAUUCCGUGAAUCAUCGAAUCUUUGAACGCCCAUUGCGCCCUCUGGCAUUCCGGGGGGCAUGCCUGUCCGAGCGUCAUUACGCACCCUCAAGCCCGGCUUGUGUGAUGGGCCCUGGCGUCUCGUUCGCGAGACGGGCCCGAAAGGCAGCGGCGGCGUCGACCCGAUGAGCCCGAGCGUAUGGGGACUUUUGUCACACGUUUGCGGUGCGGACCGGCGCCUGCUUGACUUUUCUGAUUAUCCAGGUUGACCUCGGAUCAGGUAGGGAUACCCGCUGAACUUAAGC
rnacentral:misc_RNA from 1 species